rnacentral:rRNA from 1 species
AAGCCUACGGGAGGCAGCAGUGAGGAAUAUUGGUCAAUGGACGAAAGUCUGAUGGAGCAACGCCGCGUGAGUGAAGAAGGGUUUCGGCUCGUAAAGCUCUGUUGGUAGUGAAGAAAGAUAGAGGUAGUAACUGGCCUUUAUUUGACGGUAAUUACUUAGAAAGUCACGGCUAGCUACGUGCCAGCAGCCGCGGUAAUACGUAGGUGGCAAGCGUUGUCCGGAUUUAUUGGGCGUAAAGCGAGUGCAGGCGGUUCA